UGAACGCUAGCGGCAGGCCUAACACAUGCAAGUCGCGGGGCAGCACGGGUAGCAAUACCUGGUGGCGACCGGCGCACGGGUGCGUAACGCGUAUGCAACCUGCCCCCAUCAGGGGAAUAGCCCGCCGAAAGGCGGAUUAAUGCCCCAUAGGGCCCAGGGCGCCGCAUGGCGCUAUGGGUAAAGCUCCGGCGGAUGGGGAUGGGCAUGCGUGCCAUUAGCUAGUUGGGGCGGUAACGGCGCACCAAGGCGACGAUGGCUAGGGGGUCUGAGAGGAUGGUCCCCCACACUGGUACUGAGACACGGACCAGACUUCUACGGGAGGCAGCAGUGAGGAAUAUUGGUCAAUGGGCGGAAGCCUGAACCAGCCAUUGCCGCGUGCAGGAUGACGGCCCUACGGGUUGUAAACUGCUUUUCCCCGGGAAGAAUAAGCCCCUCGUGAGGGGUGGUGCCGGUACCGGGGGAAUAAGGAUCGGCUAACUCCGUGCCAGCAGCUGC
rnacentral:rRNA from 1 species